rnacentral:rRNA from 1 species
UUAUCGAUGCAACGCGAAGAACCUUACCUGACCUUGACAUAGUGAGAACCUCUCUGAAGGGAGAGGGUGCCUUCGGGAGCUCACAUACAGGUGCUGCAUGGCUGUCGUCAGCUCGUGUCGUGAGAUGUUGGGUUAAGUCCCGCAACGAGCGCAACCCUUGUCCUUUGUUGCCAGCGGGUAAAGCCGGGAACUCAAAGGAGACUGCCAGUGACAAACUGGAGGAAGGCAGGGAUGACGUCAAGUCAUCAUGGCCCUUACGACCAGGGCAACACACGUGCUACAAUGGGAUAUACAGAGGGAAGCGAGCAGGUGACUGUAAGCGAAUCUCAGAAAGUAUUUCGUAGUCCGGAUUGAAGUCUGCAACUCGACUUCAUGAAGUUGGAAUCGCUAGUAAUCGCAAAUCAGAAUGUUGCGGUGAAUACGUUCCCGGGCCUUGUACACACCGCCCGUCACACCAUGGGAGUGGAUUGCACCAGAAGUAGCCAGCUUAACGAAAGAGGGCGGUUACCACGGUGUGGUUUAUGACUGGGGUGAAGUCGUAACAAGGUAACCUA